rnacentral:rRNA from 1 species
GACGAACGCCGGCGGCGUGCCUAAUACAUGCAAGUCGAACGCAGUUGCGAACGGGUGAGUAACGCGUAGGUAACUGCCUCAUAGCGGGGGAUAACUAUUGGAAACGAUAGCUAAUACCGCAUAUUGUGAGCUGGACCUGCGUUGUAUUAGCUAGUUGGUGGGGUAAAGGCUCACCAAGGCGACGAUACAUAGCCGACCUGAGAGGGGUGACGGACACACUGAGACUGGGGCACGGCCCAGACUCCUACGGGAGACAGCGGUAGGGAGUCAUCGGGAAUGGACGGAAGUCUGACCGGGCGACGCCGCGUGAGUGAAGAGAGUUUUCGGAUCGAAAAGCACUGUUGUUAAAGAAGCAGUGACUAGCCAGAAAGGGACGGCAAACAACAUGCCAGCAGCCGCGGUAAUUC